rnacentral:rRNA from 1 species
CCUACGGGUGGCAGCAGUGAGGAAUAUUGGUCAAUGGGCGCGAGCCUGAACCAGCCAAGUCGCGUGAGGGAAGACGGUCCUAUGGGUUGUAAACCUCUUUUGUCGGGGAGCAAAAGACGCCACGCGUGGCGUUCCGAGAGUACCCGAAGAAAAAGCAUCGGCUAACUCCGUGCCAGCAGCAGCGGUAAUACGGAGGAUGCGAGCGUUAUCCGGAUUUAGUGGGUUUAAAGGGUGCGCAGGCGGAAGGUCAAGUCAGCGGUAAAAUUGGGUGGCUCAACCUCUUCGAGCCGUUGAAACUGGUGUUCUUGAGUGAGCGAGAGGUAUGCGGAAUGUGUGGUGUAGCGGUGAAAUGCAUAGAUAUCACGCAGAACCCCGAUUGCGAAGGCAGCAUACCGGUGCUCAACUGACGCUCAUGCACGAAAGUGUGGGUAUCGAACAGGAUUAGAUACCCGUGUAGUC